AACGAACGCUGGCGGCAUGCCUAACACAUGCAAGUCGAACGAGACCUUCGGGUCUAGUGGCGCACGGGUGCGUAACGCGUGGGAACCUGCCCUUAGGUUCGGAAUAACUCCCCGAAAGGGGUGCUAAUACCGGAUAAUGUCUUCGGACCAAAGAUUUAGCGCCUUUGGAUGGGCCCGCGUUGGAUUAGCUAGUUGGUAGGGUAAAAGCCUACCAAGGCGACGAUCCAUAGCUGGUCUGAGAGGAUGAUCAGCCACACUGGGACUGAGACACGGCCCAGACUCCUACGGGAGGCAGCAGUGGGGAAUAUAGGACAAUGGGCGAAAGCCUGAUCCAGCAAUGCCGCGUGAGUGAUGAAGGCCUUAGGGUUGUAAAGCUCUUUUACCCGGGAUGAUAAUGACAGUACCGGGAGAAGAAGCUCCGGCUAACUCCGUG
rnacentral:rRNA from 1 species